rnacentral:rRNA from 1 species
UUAAGCGACUAAGCGUACACGGUGGAUGCCCUGGCAGUCAGAGGCGAUGAAGGACGUGCUAAUCUGCGAUAAGCGUCGGUAAGGUGAUAUGAACCGUUAUAACCGGCGAUUUCCGAAUGGGGAAACCCAGUGUGUUUCGACACACUAUCAUUAACUGAAUCCAUAGGUUAAUGAGGCGAACCGGGGGAACUGAAACAUCUAAGUACCCCGAGGAAAAGAAAUCAACCGAGAUUCCCCCAGUAGCGGCGAGCGGACGGGGAGCAGCCCAGAGCCUGAAUCAGUGUGUGUGUUAGUGGAAGCGUCUGGAAAGGCGUGCGAUACAGGGUGACAGCCCCGUACACAAAAAUGCACAUAUUGUGAGCUUGAUGAGUAGGGCGGGACACGUGGUAUCCUGUCUGAAUAUGGGGGGACCAUCCUCCAAGGCUAAAUACUCCUGACUGACCGAUAGUGAACCAGUACCGUGAGGGAAAGGCGAAAAGAACCCCGGCGAGGGGAGUGAAAAAGAACCUGAAACCGUGUACGUACAAGCAGUGGGAGCACGCUUAGGCGUGUGACUGCGUACCUUUUGUAUAAUGGGUCAGCGACUUAUAUUCUGUAGCAAGGUUAACCGAAUAGGGGAGCCGAAGGGAAACCGAGUCUUAACUGGGCGUUAAGUUGCAGGGUAUAGACCCGAAACCCGGUGAUCUAGCCAUGGGCAGGUUGAAGGUUGGGUAACACUAACUGGAGGACCGAACCGACUAAUGUUGAAAAAUUAGCGGAUGACUUGUGGCUGGGGGUGAAAGGCCAAUCAAACCGGGAGAUAGCUGGUUCUCCCCGAAAGCUAUUUAGGUAGCGCCUCGUGAAUUCAUCUCCGGGGGUAGAGCACUGUUUCGGCAAGGGGGUCAUCCCGACUUACCAACCCGAUGCAAACUGCGAAUACCGGAGAAUGUUAUCACGGGAGACACACGGCGGGUGCUAACGUCCGUCGUGAAGAGGGAAACAACCCAGACCGCCAGCUAAGGUCCCAAAGUCAUGGUUAAGUGGGAAACGAUGUGGGAAGGCCCAGACAGCCAGGAUGUUGGCUUAGAAGCAGCCAUCAUUUAAAGAAAGCGUAAUAGCUCACUGGUCGAGUCGGCCUGCGCGGAAGAUGUAACGGGGCUAAACCAUGCACCGAAGCUGCGGCAGCGACGCUUAUGCGUUGUUGGGUAGGGGAGCGUUCUGUAAGCCUGCGAAGGUGUGCUGUGAGGCAUGCUGGAGGUAUCAGAAGUGCGAAUGCUGACAUAAGUAACGAUAAAGCGGGUGAAAAGCCCGCUCGCCGGAAGACCAAGGGUUCCUGUCCAACGUUAAUCGGGGCAGGGUGAGUCGACCCCUAAGGCGAGGCCGAAAGGCGUAGUCGAUGGGAAACAGGUUAAUAUUCCUGUACUUGGUGUUACUGCGAAGGGGGGACGGAGAAGGCUAUGUUGGCCGGGCGACGGUUGUCCCGGUUUAAGCGUGUAGGCUGGUUUUCCAGGCAAAUCCGGAAAAUCAAGGCUGAGGCGUGAUGACGAGGCACUACGGUGCUGAAGCAACAAAUGCCCUGCUUCCAGGAAAAGCCUCUAAGCAUCAGGUAACAUCAAAUCGUACCCCAAACCGACACAGGUGGUCAGGUAGAGAAUACCAAGGCGCUUGAGAGAACUCGGGUGAAGGAACUAGGCAAAAUGGUGCCGUAACUUCGGGAGAAGGCACGCUGAUAUGUAGGUGAAGUCCCUUGCGGAUGGAGCUGAAAUCAGUCGAAGAUACCAGCUGGCUGCAACUGUUUAUUAAAAACACAGCACUGUGCAAACACGAAAGUGGACGUAUACGGUGUGACGCCUGCCCGGUGCCGGAAGGUUAAUUGAUGGGGUCAGCGCAAGCGAAGCUCUUGAUCGAAGCCCCGGUAAACGGCGGCCGUAACUAUAACGGUCCUAAGGUAGCGAAAUUCCUUGUCGGGUAAGUUCCGACCUGCACGAAUGGCGUAAUGAUGGCCAGGCUGUCUCCACCCGAGACUCAGUGAAAUUGAACUCGCUGUGAAGAUGCAGUGUACCCGCGGCAAGACGGAAAGACCCCGUGAACCUUUACUAUAGCUUGACACUGAACAUUGAGCCUUGAUGUGUAGGAUAGGUGGGAGGCUUUGAAGUGUGGACGCCAGUCUGCAUGGAGCCGGCCUUGAAAUACCACCCUUUAAUGUUUGAUGUUCUAACGUGGACCCGUGAUCCGGGUUGCGGACAGUGUCUGGUGGGUAGUUUGACUGGGGCGGUCUCCUCCUAAAGAGUAACGGAGGAGCACGAAGGUUGGCUAAUCCUGGUCGGACAUCAGGAGGUUAGUGCAAUGGCAUAAGCCAGCUUGACUGCGAGCGUGACGGCGCGAGCAGGUGCGAAAGCAGGUCAUAGUGAUCCGGUGGUUCUGAAUGGAAGGGCCAUCGCUCAACGGAUAAAAGGUACUCCGGGGAUAACAGGCUGAUACCGCCCAAGAGUUCAUAUCGACGGCGGUGUUUGGCACCUCGAUGUCGGCUCAUCACAUCCUGGGGCUGAAGUAGGUCCCAAGGGUAUGGCUGUUCGCCAUUUAAAGUGGUACGCGAGCUGGGUUUAGAACGUCGUGAGACAGUUCGGUCCCUAUCUGCCGUGGGCGCUGGAGAACUGAGGGGGGCUGCUCCUAGUACGAGAGGACCGGAGUGGACGCAUCACUGGUGUUCGGGUUGUCAUGCCAAUGGCACUGCCCGGUAGCUAAAUGCGGAAGAGAUAAGUGCUGAAAGCAUCUAAGCACGAAACUUGCCCCGAGAUGAGUUCUCCCUGACCCUUUAAGGGUCCUGAAGGAACGUUGAAGACGACGACGUUGAUAGGCCGGGUGUGUAAGCGCAGCGAUGCGUUGAGCUAACCGGUACUAAUGAACCGUGAGGCUUAACCUU